CAAGCUUUCCCCUCUUGUACUCUCAUCCCCUCCGUCCCAAUACACUCACAAUGUUGCAAUGGCAGUUGCUCUACAGUGCCACCAUUUUACUCAUGCGCCUAAAUAUGUUGCUGUACGACCUAGAAUUUUUAUUUGGGAGCACCCGUGCGCCUACAAAAAAAAUAUAAGGAUUCUAGCUUUAUUACCUCCAAUAUUUUUUCAUUGUGCUCCUACAUUUCUAUGUGCGCCUACAUGUUCCAACUUAGGUGCACAUGUGCUCCUUGUAAAAAAAGGUCUGUUUAUAGUAGGGCAACUGAAUUGAAUGAGAGCUCUCAAUCAGUUCAUGUAUAUAAAAUACCAAUGCGUACGGUAGCAGUACUCAGAACAUGUUUAGUCGGACAUAUCCCUGCAGGAAACAACUGUAUCUGCUGGUAUAGCCCUGCAGUGGACAGAGGAGAGGUGAUACUGAGACAGGUGAUGGCGCAACCAACAUUACUACUAGCCUACAUGUUGUACCAUGAGUGUUUUCAACUUGUUUAGAAACAUUAAAAACAGGACUUGCUUGCUUACUUUUCCACUCAGUUAGCCUGACUGCAAGCAGGAAAUCUUCACUUUUCUGCCUGUUGGUCGUGGCGGAAUAUUGUGCCAAUAGAACCUAGAACAGGCCACUCCAACCCUGUUCCUGGAGAGCUAUCGUCCUGUAGGGUUUCUUGCCAAUCCUAAAGUAGCGCACCUGAUUCUAAUAAUUAUACUGAAAAAAAAUAUAAACACCAUGUAAAGUGUUGGUUUUAUGAGCUGAGAUAAUGUCUACAUUUUUCCAUAUGCACAAAAAGCUUAAUUAUAAAAUUGUCCAUGAAUUUGUUUACAUCCCUGUUAGUAAACAUUAUGCCUUUGCCAAGAUAAUCCAUCCACCUGACAGGUGUGGCAUAUCAAAUAGCUGACACAGGUGUAGCUUGUGCUGGGGGACUAUAAAAGGCCACUCUAAAAUGUGCAGUUGUCACAACACAAUGCCACAUGUCUCAAGUUUUGAGGGAGCGUGCAAUUGACAUGCUGACUGCAGGAAUGUCCACCAGAGCUGUUGCCAGAGAAUUUAAUGUUCAUGUCUCUGCCAUAAGCCGCUUCCAAUGUCGUUUUAAAUAAUUUGGCAGUAGGUCCAACUAGCCUCACAACCACAGACCACGUUUAACCACGCCAGCCCAGGACCUCCACAUCCGGCUUCUUCACCUGUGGGAUCGUCUUACAUGCUGACUGAACCGGGGCACGCAAAUGUUGAUUUCUGUCCAUCCACACCAGACGCGAUCAGGAAACGCAGGUUAAAAUAUGAAAAUGAACGCUGAUCCAACUCAUUUGCGGACAGGUUAAUAGGCAUCAAACAUUCAUUCUAAUUUGUCCUGGGAUAUAAACAUUGGAUUAUUUUACCUGAAAUGCACAAGGUCCUCUACUCCCGACAAUUAAUCCACAGAUAAAAGGGUAAACCUAGUUAGUUUCUAGUAAUCUUUCCAUUCAUCUGUGGACUUUAUAUGGCAGUUGGCAACCAACUAAGGUGCAUUACCACCACCAACUGGGCCGGAGUGUGGACCUCACUUCAUCUUUCAAUCAUCCACGUGGGUAUAUGCUCCUAAAAACCAAUGAGUAGAUGGGAGAGGUGUGUAGGCAGAGGAGAGGUGUGUAGGCAGCACAUCAAUCAUAAAAAUUAUACCAAGUUCAGUGAGCAGUUUGGAUUGAAUAACGUGUACAUUUUAUUUUGCAACUUGCCCGUAACAAGAGCGGUGUGGUCUGCAUGUUAGACCAGCCACAUGGACAGCUGAUGAAACAUAGUAUUUUUGUCCGUAAUAAAGCCCUUUUUGUGGGGAAAACUUCUGGUUGGCUGGGCCUAUGGCUGUCCAGUGGCUGGGCCCCUGCCCAUUCAUGUGAAAUCCAUAAAUUAGGGCCUAAUGAUUUUUUUUUUAAAUUGACUGAUUUGAUUUAUAUGAACUGUAACUCGGUAAAAUCGUUUCAUGUUAUGUUUUAUUUUUGUUCAGUAUUGCUGGUUGAUAAGAUGAAUCAGGUUAGUAAGACAACCUACAGGACGGUAAGCUCUCCAGGAACAGGGUUGGAGAAUCCUGACCUAGAAAUGUUUAGUUAUGUUUUGUCUUGAUACUGGUCUGUACCGGUUUGUACCAUCUCAGUGCAAGUGAAACAUCUGGCUAAGUCUUUAAUCCUUAAAUCUAUUUACGCAUCCGUCAGUUUUAAGAUAGAGAUAUCUGUUUUUUUGCAUGGGCUGCGUCUCAAUCCACCAUCUGCCUAUGUCGGCCUUCCGCACCUGCGGUGGAAGGUGGCUGAGCUACAGCGGUGUUUGUCAGACCAUGAGACAUCCUGAAAAUCGAUCUUCUCACAAACGUCUGUAGCGUCCGAACGGUUUGGCCUACAAACUAAUAUGACCACUCUAUGGAAAGAUGACUCUUUUGCUCUACGGGACUCGUCUGAAGCUUGAAAACUAUUUUCAUAGUCUCAAAAAUCCAAAACUCAGGGAGGAGCAAGAAGCAGCUAGGCGUCGUCAAGAAAAGAAUAGUAAAAGCAACAGUGCCACGCCAACCAAGGCAAAGGAGCACAAGGAUUCCUGUGAGGAGGUUGAGCGACCAGGCCUGUUGGCAGUCGUGAAGGCGCCACCCAAACCGCGGCGCGCCAAACUCCUCAACAAGGGCCGCAAGCUGAGUGCUCGGAAGCGCGGGCGUCCCAAGAAGGCUGCUGUGGCCGCAGCUGAGCGAAAGAGCAAGAGCAGCCAGAGUGCCCUGGAUCUGCUGCAUGCCAAGACCCUCUCAGCAGCACCCCCUCAGGAUGCAUACAGGUCACCUCAAAGUCCCUUCUACCAGCUACCUCCCAAAGUUCAGCACUAUGCGUCUGGCCAACUUCUGCUGGGCCCCAGUCCUCCUGGCCUACAACAGCUUCUAGACAACAUUAAAGUCCAGUACCUCCAGUUCAUGGCCUACAUGAAGACACCUCAGUACCGCAACAACCUGCAGCAAGUCCUGGAGCAGGAAAAGCUCAAACACAGAGGGCUUUCUGGGCAGGCGGAGCAUCUGCAGACUGCGUGUCAGACCCACAAAGAGAAAAUCAAAGGGCUCUUCCACCACAAACUGGAUGAGCUGGGAGUGAAGGCCCUCACCAUGGAGGACCUAUUGGAGGCCCAGAAGGAGAUCUCGGCCCACAACCGUCAACUGAAGGAGCAGACCAAGCAUCUGGAGAGGGACAUGGCCGAGCUGAGGGAUCACAGCCUGCUCCUGUUGAAGUCUCGGUGUGAGGAGCUGAAGCUGGACUGGAGCUCUCUGUGUCUUGAGAGCCUGCUGAAGGAGAAGCAGGCCCUGCGUAGACAGAUCUCAGAGAAACAGCGCCACUGCCUCGAGCUGCAGAUCAGCAUCGUGGAACUGGAGAAGAGUCAGAGGCAACAGGAGCUGCUCCAGCUCAAGUCCUACAGUCCCUGUGAGGGCUCCCUCUACCACAAGGGCCUCCCCGGCCUGGAGGCCCUCCCUCGUCCUCCCCUGGACCACCACACCCCCAAACUCAGCCUGGCUGCGGCCGGCCUCAACAGUCUUAGCCCUGAGCUGUCCAUCAACAGCAUCGCCUCGCCCUGCUUCCACAGGGAUGGUGGGGGGAUCAAGGGAGAGUUGCUCUCCCGCUACCUGCCCAUCUCGCCCGACCACGAGAUUGUACCCCCCACCCCGGAUGCCCGGCACAGGCAGCUGGGUCACCCCCUCCCCGACUACACCCGCUACUCCCCAGCUAAGAUCGCCCUGCGCAGACACCUGAACCAGGACUCAAGUAUGGCACACUUCAGAGGCCUGGGCUUCACUGGUCUCAGGGAUAUGGUUGCUGUCACCUCUCCAUUAGGAGCUAAACUGAGCUGCCUCUCUCCCAACUCAUCAGACAGUCUGCAGAACAACACACCCAGGAGUGCUGAGAGGGGGGGCCAGGGUGACACCAUCACCAGCCUGCCCAUCAGUAUCCCCCUCAGCACGGUGCACCCCAGCAAGCUCCCUGUUAGCAUCCCCCUGGCCAGUGUGGUGCUGCCCAGCCGAGCUGAGAGACUGAGGAGCACACCGAGUCCUUUGUCCCAGACGGGCCAGACCAACGGGUACUCCUCUAGCUCAGGGCUGAUGAACGGAGGCUCUCACUCUGAGGACCAGGACAGUGCUGCCCUCUCCCCUCCCCCUCACGGUGCCCCUCUAACGGGACCAACACAAGGCCACAGCCCCCCUCUCAGCACCGGGGGGGUCCUCCAGUACGCUGACGGCCCCCCCAGAAUCCUCCCUGAGGACUGGGCCGAGCGGCACGGCGAGUCUGACUCUGAGCCCCAGGACAGCGAGUCCAGACGCCGCGUGUUCUUCUCUUCAUCCUCCUCGUCCUCCUCUUCAUCCUCUUCAGGGGGUGCAGCCACUCGCCUACACCUCGGCACGGCCAGGCAGGGCAAGCAUCACCACGGCAACCACAACACCAAUAACCACCACCACUCGCCGGGCUCCCAGCACACACACUCCCACGGCCAUGGAUCACAAGAGGGGCGCAAGCGUGGGAGGAGAAAGCGCAGCUCCACGGGGGCUCAACUUGCCAGCGGCUCCCCAAAGAGGAGGUCCUUUCCUGCGCUCAGCUCCACCAGCCAACCCUCAGGAUCCCCACUCAACAUCAACUCCAUGGUGAACAACAUAAACCAGCCUCUGGAGAUCGCUGCCAUUUCUUCCCCGGAGCAGUCUGGUUGUAGCCCCUGUGGGCCGGACAUGGACCAGCCCCCCGUACUGAAGAGAGAACGCCCUCUGGAGAUCAACGGCUCAGGACACUACUCCUCUGCACCCAGCUCCGACGACGACUCUGGCUACCCUGCUGACAGCUCCAGCUCAAGAAUUGAAAGGAAGAUUGCCACUAUUUCCUUGGAGAGCAGAGAUGGAGCAGGCAGACCAGGGAACAGCGAGCGGGGAAGGAAAUCGGGAGGCAGCAGCGGGAACAGCACCGGCAGUGAAGUCUCCUCUUCAUCCUCAUCUUCCAACAGCAAGUGGAAGUCUACCUUCUCCCCCAUCUCAGACACCAAGCAGCCCCCAGGCGAGCUGAGGCAGGAGGGCUCCCCCUUCGGUAUGGGGAGAGAGCCACCGGGCUUAGGCACCGACUCAGACUCUGAUCACAAACCGCAGCAGAGGAGGGGGGGUGAGUCCUCAGCAUCUCCGUACAUUCCCCCUAGCCCCUUCCUCAGCCAGGAGGCUGGUGGCCGGCCGGGGGCAGGCCCCCAGGGAGGAAGCAGCUCAGAGAGGCAGGCUAUGCCCAAACAGAAGCCCAGGGGGGAGUGGGAGCUGAAGACAUCCAGCAGCCUAGGAAACAGCCAAAACCUCUUCAUCUCUGCGGCGGCCAGCGGGGGUAUCCUGAGCGGGAAGGUGGGGGGAAGCCCAGUAGCUGUGUCCUCAGCCUCAGGGGCUUCUGUGGGACAGUACCUGGGGGCCCAGUUUCCCCUCGGGGGGGCCUCUGUCCUUCAGUCCCUAUUUGGGGCCCAGACGCCCAGCACCUCGGUGAGCGGGGCCUCUCGCCUGGUCAACGGACACUCUUCCCUGGGGAGCUUCUCCAGCGCUGGGCUGGCAGGUGGAGCAGCUGGAGGUAUCUUUCACCACGUGGUGCCCUCAGUGUCGUCCCAUCAGUUUGGGGCUGUGCUGCCAGCCACAGGAGGCCUCAGCUCUCUGCUCAGUCUCUCCUCCCAGCAGCAUCACCACAUUGCCCCUCACUCAUGCUCCUCCUUCCUGGCCUCUGUGUCCUCCACCAUCCCCCUGCCCCUCUCACAGGCCCAGCACAGCCGCACCCAGACAGUACUGCACACUCCUCUGCCCCCCAUGCGCUCCCUUCCACCUCCCCCGCCUCUACUUAAUGUCUCCUACUCUUCCUCUGUCCCCUUUUCCUCUGAGCCCACUCCCUCGUCUCGCUCUGAGUCCUUCCUCUCCUCCCGACUGGUCGCCUCUUCCCUCCAACAUCAGAGGGCACAGUCCUCCUCAAUCUCUCUCUCUGGUUCCUCUGCUACUGCUUCUACCCCCCUUCCUCCUUCCUCUCGUAACUUCACAGUACACCACCCCCCUCACCUGCUCCCUCCAACCCCGGCCAGUAUAUCAGGAGGUGGGGGCAUCAUGUGGAGGACUCUGGGCUUGCCUGCUUCCUACAUGUCGUCCUCUCAGCACACCGGUUCCCGGCCUAGAUAGGUCACGGGUGGGGGGGUGGGGGGGGGUUAGGUCAGUCAGAGGGAUAAGGAGGAGAGAUCUGGUUGUCCCUGUUCUCCCCAAGCUGCUAUUCAGUCCCAACAAGGUAACUGAAGAAUAUCUACCUCAACCCAACGUAACCUAUGCAAAUGGCCAGGUGUGGACCAAGGUACUCUUUCACUGGUGCUCCUAAGCCUGUUAAAUUGCCACUGAUUUGGGACUCUACACACACACACACACACACACACACACACACACACACACACACACACACACACACACACACACACACACACACACACACACACACACACACACACACACACACAGAGAGCUGAGAACACACACACACACACACACACAUAUAUAUAUAUCACACACACAUAUAUAUAUAUCACACACACACACACAUAUAUCACACACACUCACGUUGACACACACAGCAUGGCAUCCUGAGCGGAGUUGAGCGGUCACGGGGGUUUUUGUGUCGUGGGUUGAGGCUGACCGUAAUCCGUGAGUUGUGUACCUACCAUCCUGAAUGAAUUGGUAUGCUGCCUGCUAUAAACAUUAACGUUAUAGAGACACAGGACAUGCACUGUUUCCAUGGCAGUAAGUUGUACAGGUACAUCACUGUCACCAUGUAACCUGGUGCUACUAAAUAUGAAAUAUAGAUAACUAUAUUGAGCUUUAAGACUCAAUUCAGACAUUUGAUGACAGAAGAAAGCACAGUUAGCAGUGUAGUUGUACAUGUUAUAUUACUAAAGACAGACUGUAAAUGGCGGGAGACUCCUGUGGUACCAUCAUCCCGGUAUCAUCUUUGUUCUGUUAUUAUCUGACCACCAGGGUGCUUUCUUAGCCCCCCCCCCACACACACACACACACAAAGAAUGCGUUUACACAGGCAGACCUAUUCUGAUCUUUUUUCCAGUAAUUGGUCGUUUGAACCUAUCAGCUCUGAAAAAGAUCUGAUGUGAUUGGUCAAAAGACCAAUUAGUGUUAAAAAAUAAAUAAAUAAUAUAUAUAUAAUUUGUCUGCCUGUGUAAAUGCAUCUAUAUAUACACAGUCUAGACCAGUUUAACCCAACUCUGUACAGGACUAGGGACCAUGCAGCGGUGACUCUGCAUCUCUAUCGCUCUGCUAGCUAACCUUUAACCCUGAUAACUUCAGUGAAUUUAGUAUGAUUUGACCACAUUAGCUUUUGGCUACAGUAUGAAACGAGAAGCUGUUUGUUCAAACACACUGGAUCACAUAUCUGUGUACCCUCACUGUGGAAACAUCCCUGGUGCAGGGACAGCACUAUAGUCGGCUCAGAGUAAAAAAGUUGUUGGUGUGAUCAUUUAUGUGAAUAACGACAGUUUCUGGAAAUGUAAUAGUAAGCCUCUAGGGUGUUCUCAUUCAUUUGAAUGCUGUGUCAAAAUGUAUGGAAGUGAACAGCAGAAAGACUUGAGGAUGUAAUGGGGAAACAGGAUUCAAUUACUGAGACAGUCAGUUGGUAAUCACUACUUAUAGAGCCAGCUAGGGAGUAGGGACCUGCAACGCAAUGUGCAUUCUUCACAAGUAGGAAUCUCAACUACUCUAACUUAAGCUUCUUGGUUUUGUUUUUAUAGCCCUGCUGAAACACUGAUACGAUGAAAAAUGCAGGUGUAAUUUUGGGACUUUUAAUAUUGUCCGUGUUGUAUUCAGGCAAGUCUCUGGAACCCUAUCUCACGGAGUUCACAGGGGACGGGUAUUUUUUUAUAUAUUUUUUUUAUACGUGUCAACCUUUUGUCCACUGAAGGCUAUAGUGGUACUUUCUGCAGCCUGUCCAACCUGCACACACUGAUGUACGAACAUCCUCACUCACACACUGGUAUACGGACAUCCUCACUCACACACUGGUAUACGGACAUCCUCACUCACACACUGGUAAAUGCAUGAAUAACAACAAACUACUGGGCAAUUUUCACUUUUGAUUUAUUUCAUUUUUGUAAACAACAUUGUACUGUGAAUGGGAGACAUUCUGACUGUUUAAUUGUGUAUAAUUUUGAUCAUUAUAUUUAUGCUGUCAUGUUUUUUGUUUAUUUUGUUCUCCUGAAAUGUAUAACAGUGUAGAAUGCAAUAGGUAUAAGUGUGUACUUAACGUAGUCUGAAAACAUUGGUGCUACAAUCUGUAACUCUGGACUGUGCCUCAUUUUAUUUAUACAAUAUUAAGAACAUCAAUAACUGUCUAUACUUGGUGCUUCUUGUACACAGGGACGUUUUAAAUGCCAUUUUCUGGCAUUCUUUCUCGUAUUUAAAGUGUAGUUAUCAGAUUUUUGAAUUGUUGUACUAGUGUACAACUGCAGACGAUUUGGCUCAGAGUUAAGACAAAAGGUAACGCUCUCAUUCGAUGCGUUUUCACACAGUAUUUUUGGCAUACUGCGAAUCACCCUUUUGCUUUCAAACUUGCCACUUGUUCCGGACUAUUUGUAAAUGUUUUUUUUUUUUUGACCGUUUGUUUAUUAAGGGUGUGUUGCUGAUUUAAGAAACGCCUAGAUUGCUUUGGGGUAUUAUUUAAUUACUAUAUUUUUUGGGGGGGGCCUGACAUGUGGCAAACUUCUACAACCUGUCAAACAGGUUGGGCCAGCACCCAAGGGAGACAGAGGUGUGCAGAGUUGUUAAGCCAGUGCUUUAAUAGUGAGAAACACCAUGACUAUUCAGUGUCAAUGAGGGCUCCUCUGAGAUGUGUACUGUACAAGUUAAAAGUUUAGACACUUUUUUUGGUUACUACAUGAUUCCGUAUGUUUUAUUUCAUAGUUUGAUCUAUUCACUAUUCUACAAUGUAUAAAAUGGUAAAAAUAAAAACCCUUGAAUGAGUAGGUGUCUAAACUUUUGACUGGUACUGUAUAUAUUUAUCUAGAGAGUACAAGCGUUGAGUAUAUGUGCUUAACCUAUGCAGACAGAGAUUUUGUGCUGAAACUAGCCUGUCUGGAUUGUAUCAGAUUGACUAUGCUUUUUAAAGAAAAAUGUAUACUGGUGCUCUUUCAACCACACAAACAGAUUUCUGAAAAUGUUCUGGGUGCAUCCAAAAACCAAAUGUCUUCUCAUUUCUGCUACUUGUCCUGGGAUAUGUCUUAAAACUGCCUCCUUCCCAUAGCGUGAGCAUAUUACAUCUGUUUGUGAUUACAAGUUAAUUGUUCCAAUAUAACUGGUAGUAGAAUAACUAGUAGGUAUUAUGUGAUUUUGCAACAAUCAGGCUUCCUUUUGAUCUGAUUGCCAAAUGAGUCUUUACUAAUUGAGGAUGUGAAGCAGCAGGACAUUCAUUUCUCUUCAUUGUUUUGUUCGUUUCACCUAUGCCCUCAAUGAAAAAUUACUCAUCAAAGCAUUAGUCACAAUGUGGUCCGGUAGGCAAGUGCUUUGUAACCAGGAAUGUGUAUAUCAACCCUUCUGUUCAAGUAAAGUGAGGACAAUGAUUUGUUCAUGUCAGACAUGAACAAAAAAGCGAAUUCCAUUGUUAACAGCGCUGACGGGCCUUUUUGUAAUUAUUGUUAAAAUUUUUUUUUGGUGUUUGAUAUAAUCGCAGUUGGUAUCAAUUAUGCUUUUAUUAUGACAAGAUUCAGAUCAAGUUUUAAUACUCUUAAACAGACAGUGCGGUGCUCUCCUACACUUAAAAUGAGGGAAAAUGCAGCUAUUGAUUAAUACACUUCUGUUGUGCUAGAGGGGAAAGGUUUAAACUUCAACACAGGCUAUUUAAUCAGAAAAUAUACUUCCUAGUUGGCUGGAGUGGUGUGUGUGUGUGUGGGAGUGAGAAUAGUAUUGGGUAGUGAAUAUUGUUACUUCAGCUUUCAACAAACUUUUACAACAUGCCCUGUUUCUAAUAUGUCCACUGAAGAACUACGCCUAUGAUCUCUCUGGCAAAUAUGGAUGAAUUAUAUUGAAGUCAUAUAGUGCUCUAUACAUUUUCUCAAUGCAUUACUUUACAGUUAAGACUUUUCCACAUACCAAGACUGAAUCCUGCCAAGUCUCUCUCAGGAACUUAUCAGAUAUCUUGAAAUGCUAUAACACUUUGAAUACUGUAUGUCCCACUUAACUUUAAACUGGGACUUAUGUUUCUCCCUUUCUCAGGACCAGGGACCGCAUUUAUAUUUUGAUGUACGGUAACUUAAAUUGAUAUUGGUGCUUUGAGUUGACUAACUGCCUUAGAUGUAUGUUUGUCUCCUCAAUUUCUCACUGUCACACACAUCCAGCCACACCAGCAAAAGACUGCAGGUUUGUUCGACUAGUCUGAAGAUGUCGUGGAAAAGCCUCAUCUCUUCCUACUCUCACACAUGUCUCAAUCCCUUUCCUCUUUCUCAAAAUGAAAUGUCCUUUGACCUUCAGUGUUGUGAUCCUUACAUAGGAGAACGCUGUGUAGUUGAAGGAAUUAAUUUAACUCUCUCAGUAAAGCCAGGGCAGGUUUGAGGUGCAAUAGGCAAACCUACGUUCCAAAACACCCUGGGUUGUCAUGGAAACUCUUGGUGUUGGUGCUUUUAUCUUAAAUAUGAUUAAUGACAAAUUGAAAUUUGUUUAGCUUUUUAUGAUUAAUAAAAUGUUUUCUUAUAAAGUG